rnacentral:rRNA from 1 species
UUAAGCGACUAAGCGUACACGGUGGAUGCCCUGGCAGUCAGAGGCGAUGAAGGACGUGCUAAUCUGCGAAAAGCGCCGGCGAGGUGAUAUGAACCCUUGACCCGGCGAUGUCCGAAUGGGGAAACCCAGUGCAAUCCGUUGCACUAUCGUUAACUGAAUACAUAGGUUAACGAGGCGAACCGGGGGAACUGAAACAUCUAAGUACCCCGAGGAAAAGAAAUCAACCGAGAUUCCCCCAGUAGCGGCGAGCGAACGGGGAGCAGCCCGGAGUCUGAAUCAGCUUGUGUGUUAGUGGAACGGUCUGGAAAGUCCGACGGUACAGGGUGAUAGUCCCGUACACGAAAGCACACUUGCUGUGAACUCGAAGAGUAGGGCGGGACACGUGGUAUCCUGUCUGAAUAUGGGGGGACCAUCCUCCAAGGCUAAAUACUCCUGACUGACCGAUAGUGAACCAGUACCGUGAGGGAAAGGCGAAAAGAACCCCGGCGAGGGGAGUGAAAAAGAACCUGAAACCGUGUACGUACAAGCAGUGGGAGCCUACUUGUUAGGUGACUGCGUACCUUUUGUAUAAUGGGUCAGCGACUUAUAUUCUGUAGCAAGGUUAACCGUAUAGGGGAGCCGAAGGGAAACCGAGUCUUAACUGGGCGUUAAGUUGCAGGGUAUAGACCCGAAACCCGGUGAUCUAGCCAUGGGCAGGUUGAAGGUUGGGUAACACUAACUGGAGGACCGAACCGACUAAUGUUGAAAAAUUAGCGGAUGACCUGUGGCUGGGGGUGAAAGGCCAAUCAAACCGGGAGAUAGCUGGUUCUCCCCGAAAGCUAUUUAGGUAGCGCCUCGUGAACUCAUCUUCGGGGGUAGAGCACUGUUUCGGCUAGGGGGCCAUCCCGGCUUACCAACCCGAUGCAAACUACGAAUACCGAAGAAUGUUAUCACGGGAGACACACGGCGGGUGCUAACGUCCGUCGUGAAGAGGGAAACAACCCAGACCGCCAGCUAAGGUCCCAAAGUCAUGGUUAAGUGGGAAACGAUGUGGGAAGGCACAGACAGCCAGGAUGUUGGCUUAGAAGCAGCCAUCAUUUAAAGAAAGCGUAAUAGCUCACUGGUCGAGUCGGCCUGCGCGGAAGAUGUAACGGGGCUAAACCAUGCACCGAAGCUGCGGCAGCGACACUAUGUGUUGUUGGGUAGGGGAGCGUUCUGUAAGCCGUUGAAGGUGUGCUGUGAGGCAUGCUGGAGGUAUCAGAAGUGCGAAUGCUGACAUAAGUAACGAUAAAGCGGGUGAAAAGCCCGCUCGCCGGAAGACCAAGGGUUCCUGUCCAACGUUAAUCGGGGCAGGGUGAGUCGACCCCUAAGGCGAGGCCGAAAGGCGUAGUCGAUGGGAAACAGGUUAAUAUUCCUGUACUUGGUGUUACUGCGAAGGGGGGACGGAGAAGGCUAUGUCAGCCGGGCGACGGUUGUCCCGGUUUAAGCAUGUAGGCGGAGGUUCCAGGUAAAUCCGGUACCUUGUUAACGCUGAGGUGUGAUGACGAGGCACUACGGUGCUGAAGUGAUAAAUGCCCUGCUUCCAGGAAAAGCCUCUAAGCAUCAGGUAACACGAAAUCGUACCCCAAACCGACACAGGUGGUCAGGUAGAGAAUACCAAGGCGCUUGAGAGAACUCGGGUGAAGGAACUAGGCAAAAUGGUGCCGUAACUUCGGGAGAAGGCACGCUGAUGUGUAGGUGAAGCCCCUGCGGGCGGAGCUGAAAUCAGUCGAAGAUACCAGCUGGCUGCAACUGUUUAUUAAAAACACAGCACUGUGCAAACACGAAAGUGGACGUAUACGGUGUGACGCCUGCCCGGUGCCGGAAGGUUAAUUGAUGGGGUUAGCGGCAACGCGAAGCUCUUGAUCGAAGCCCCGGUAAACGGCGGCCGUAACUAUAACGGUCCUAAGGUAGCGAAAUUCCUUGUCGGGUAAGUUCCGACCUGCACGAAUGGCGUAAUGAUGGCCAGGCUGUCUCCACCCGAGACUCAGUGAAAUUGAACUCGCUGUGAAGAUGCAGUGUACCCGCGGCAAGACGGAAAGACCCCGUGAACCUUUACUAUAGCUUGACACUGAACACUGGUCCUUGAUGUGUAGGAUAGGUGGGAGGCUUUGAAGCGUGGACGCCAGUCUGCGUGGAGCCAACCUUGAAAUACCACCCUUUAAUGGCUGGUGUUCUAACGUAGACCCGUAAUCCGGGUUGCGGACAGUGUCUGGUGGGUAGUUUGACUGGGGCGGUCUCCUCCCAAAGAGUAACGGAGGAGCACGAAGGUUGGCUAAUCCUGGUCGGACAUCAGGAGGUUAGUGCAAUGGCAUAAGCCAGCUUGACUGCGAGCGUGACGGCGCGAGCAGGUGCGAAAGCAGGUCAUAGUGAUCCGGUGGUUCUGAAUGGAAGGGCCAUCGCUCAACGGAUAAAAGGUACUCCGGGGAUAACAGGCUGAUACCGCCCAAGAGUUCAUAUCGACGGCGGUGUUUGGCACCUCGAUGUCGGCUCAUCACAUCCUGGGGCUGAAGUAGGUCCCAAGGGUAUGGCUGUUCGCCAUUUAAAGUGGUACGCGAGCUGGGUUUAGAACGUCGUGAGACAGUUCGGUCCCUAUCUGCCGUGGGCGCUGGAGAAUUGAGGGGGGCUGCUCCUAGUACGAGAGGACCGGAGUGGACGCAUCACUGGUGUUCGGGUUGUCAUGCCAAUGGCACUGCCCGGUAGCUAAAUGCGGAAGAGAUAAGUGCUGAAAGCAUCUAAGCACGAAACUUGCCCCGAGAUGAGUUCUCCCUGAGACUUUAAGUCUCCUGAAGGAACGUUGAAGACGACGACGUUGAUAGGUCGGGUGUGUAAGCGCAGCGAUGCGUUGAGCUAACCGAUACUAAUGAACCGUGAGGCUUAACCUU